UGAGUUGUGGUUCAGUAGUAGUGUGCUUGCCUAGCAUGCAUGAGGCACUGGGUUCGAUUCUCAGCACCACAU
rnacentral:tRNA from 1 species